GGGGGGGGAGGAAAGCUGGGGCGGGGGGGGGGGGGCCCGCGGCCCACCAGCUUGUUGGUGGGGUAAUGGCCUACCAAGGCGACGACGGGUAGCCGGCCUGAGAGGGUGACCGGCCACACUGGGACUGAGAUACGGCCCAGACUCCUACGGGAGGCAGCAGUGGGGAAUAUUGCACAAUGGGCGCAAGCCUGAUGCAGCGACGCCGCGUGAGGGAUGACGGCCUUCGGGUUGUAAACCUCUUUCACCAGGGACGAAGCGCAAGUGACGGUACCUGGAGAAGAAGCACCGGCCAACUACGUGCCAGCAGCCGCGGUAAUACGUAGGGUGCGAGCGUUGUCCGGAAUUACUGGGCGUAAAGAGCUCGUAGGUGGUUUGUCGCGUUGUUCGUGAAAACUCACAGCUUAACUGUGGGCGUGCGGGCGAUACGGGCAGACUAGAGUACUGCAGGGGAGACUGGAAUUCCUGGUGUAGCGGUGGAAUGCGCAGAUAUCAGGAGGAACACCGGUGGCGAAGGCGGGUCUCUGGGCAGUAACUGACGCUGAGGAGCGAAAGCGUGGGGAGCGAACAAGGGUAGAUACCCUGGUAGUCCACGCCGUAAGCGGCCCUAAUGGGUGUGGGUUCCUUCCUUGGGAUCCGUUCCGUAGCUAACGCCUUAAGUACCCCCGCCUGGGGAGUACGGCCGCAAGGCUAAAAACUCAAAGGAAUUGACGGGGGCCCGCACAAGCGGCGGAGCAUGUGGAUUAAUUCGAUGCAACGCGAAGAACCUUACCUGGGUUUGACAUGCACAGGACGCUGGUAGAGAUAUCAGUUCCCUUGUGGCCUGUGUGCAGGUGGUGCAUGGCUGUCGUCAGCUCGUGUCGUGAGAUGUUGGGUUAAGUCCCGCAACGAGCGCAACCCCUAUCUUAUGUUGCCAGCGCGUUAUGGCGGGGACUCGUAAGAGACUGCCGGGGUCAACUCGGAGGAAGGUGGGGAUGACGUCAAGUCAUCAUGCCCCUUAUGUCCAGGGCUUCACACAUGCUACAAUGGCCGGUACAAAGGGCUGCGAAUCCGCGAGGUGGAGCGAAUCCCUUGAAAGCCGGUCUCAGUUCGGAUCGGGGUCUGCAACUCGACCCCGUGAAGUUGGAGUCGCUAGUAAUCGCAGAUCAGCAACGCUGCGGUGAAUACGUUCCCGGGCCUUGCAAUCACCGCCCGUCAAG
rnacentral:rRNA from 1 species